rnacentral:rRNA from 1 species
AUUGCUAUUGGGAUUCGAUUUAGCCAUGCUAGUCGUACGAGUUUAGACUCGUGGCGAAUAGCUCAGUAACACGUGGCCAAACUACCCUUCGGACCGCAAUACCCUCGGGAAACUGAGGCUAAUAGCGGACACCACACGCAAACUGGAAUGUCGCGUGUGUCAAACGCUCCGGCGCCGAAGGAUGUGGCUGCGGCCGAUUAGGUAGACGGUGGGGUAACGGCCCACCGUGCCAAUAAUCGGUACGGGUCAUGAGAGUGAGAACCCGGAGACGGAAUCUGAGACAAGAUUCCGGGCCCUACGGGGCGCAGCAGGCGCGAAACCUUUACACUGCACGCCAGUGCGAUAAGGGGAUCCCAAGUGCGUAGGCAUAGAGCCUACGCUUUUGUCCACCCUAGGGUGGUGGACGAAUAAGGGCUGGGCAAGACCGGUGCCAGCCGCCGCGGUAAUACCGGCAGCCCAAGUGAUGGCCGAUCUUAUUGGGCCUAAAGCGUCCGUAGCUGGCCGCACAAGUCCAUCGGGAAAUCCACCUGCUCAACAGGUGGGCGUCCGGUGGAAACUGUGUGGCUUGGGACCGGAAGGCGCGACGGGUACGUCCGGGGUAGGAGUGAAAUCCUGUAAUCCUGGACGGACCGCCGAUGGCGAAAGCACGUCGCGAAAACGGAUC